rnacentral:tRNA from 1 species
UCUAAAUGGGGCGUGGCCAAGUGGUAAGGCAACGGGUUUUGGUCCCGCUAUUCGGAGGUUCGAAUCCUUCCG